rnacentral:miRNA from 1 species
UCCUCUUCCUCUUCCUCUUCCUCUUCCUCUUCCUCUGUUUAUCUUCCUCUUCUUUCCCAUUUCCAUUUGUUUCUUCUGAGGAAGAAGAUGGAGGAAUAGGAAAGAUUUCAAUUUUUAUUUUUGAAACACAGUAUUGAAGAUUUGUCUAUG